UACGUAGGGUGCGAGCGUUAAUCGGAAUUACUGGGCGUAAAGGGUGCGCAGGCGGUUAUAUAAGUCAGAUGUGAAAUCCCCGGGCUCAACCUGGGAACUGCGUUUGUGACUGUAUGACUAGAGUACGGUAGAGAGGGGUGGAAUUCCUGGUGUAGCAGUGAAAUGCGUAGAUAUCAGGAGGAACAUCGAUGGCGAAGGCAGCCCCUUGGACCUGUACUGACGCUCAUGCACGAAAGCGUGGGGAGCAAACAGG
rnacentral:rRNA from 1 species